AGUGAACGCUGGCGGUAGGCCUAACACAUGCAAGUCGAACGGCAGCACAGUAAGAGCUUGCUCUUACGGGUGGCGAGUGGCGGACGGGUGAGGAAUACAUCGGAAUCUACUUUUUCGUGGGGGAUAACGUAGGGAAACUUACGCUAAUACCGCAUACGACCUACGGGUGAAAGCAGGGGAUCUUCGGACCUUGCGCGAUUGAAUGAGCCGAUGUCGGAUUAGCUAGUUGGCGGGGUAAAGGCCCACCAAGGCGACGAUCCGUAGCUGGUCUGAGAGGAUGAUCAGCCACCCUGGAACUGAGACACGGUACAGACUCCUACAGGAGGCAGCAGUGGGGAAUAUUGGACAAUGGGCGAAAGCCUGAUCCAGCCAUACCGCGUGGGUGAAGAAGGCCUUCGGGUUGUAAAGCCCUUUUGUUGGGAAAGAAAAGCAGCAGGUUAAUACCCCGCUGUUCUGACGGUACCCAAAGAAUAAGCACCGGCUAACUUCGUG
rnacentral:rRNA from 1 species